AGUUGCGGGGUGACGUCAGACGCCGGCGAGGCGCGCUUUCGAGUCGCUUGUUCUUCCUCUGUGCAUCCGCUCUCCGCCUGUUAUAUUCAGAAAGUAUUAGCUGGCAGAUGAUGAUAUACAUGUAUCUGAAAAUGCCUUAUGUAAAAUGGAGAUACAAUGAAACAGGACAUGAUAUUAGAAGAUAACCCAACUUCUGUUUAAGAAGAAAUAGCACCCUGGGUGCCUGAACAUGACUGGGCUACGUAAAUAUCAGGGAAGGAUGGAUAAACUGGCGUUCCAAUCUACAUGCAUUCACUGGGAAGGAAGAGAAAGGGGUGUACCGAGUACCAGGGCUUUUGCUGGCUUAGCUCAUUAUUCUCAGAAACAACCCUAAGAGUUGUUAUCCCCAUAGACAAGGGAACUGGGGUUCCUAGAGUUUCACUGUCUGUUCAUUCCUUAACAACCACCUGUGAUCCCCUCUGCAUCGGGCCCAGUGCUAGAUUCCGGGAGCACAGCAGUGAGCCAGGAAGACCUGGUCUCCACUUUCAGGGAAUCAACAUCCCAGUGAGGCAGUAAAUGGAGAAAGAAACACACACAUUAGCGCAAUAAGGAAGCAGGCAGAAUGAUGUUAGGUCUCCCCACCUACCCAGAGAUAGGAUGCACCUGCCGUCUGCUGACGGGGUGAGGGAAAGGUUCAGACCACGGGGCUAAAAGAGGUAACCAGCUUGUUCCAGCUUGCCUGGAACUUUCUAGGUUCUAGUCUCACGAGUCAGAAACCUUCUCAUUCGCAGGCAAACCAGGACAGGUGGUCACCCUAGAGCUCAAUUCUGGCAGGGCUGAGAUCUAAACCCACUUCUGUUUGAUGACAAGGCCCGGGCUCUUCAGUUCACACCAGCCUGAUGUCCAGAGGUUGGCCUCUAUCUUCCCUAUGACGGACAGCCUAUCGUGGCAAUGCUGCCUAGAAAUUAAGCAAGGCUGGGAAGAAUACUGGCAGGUGAUACCUUCUUUAACAAAGGAUUUGCUGGAGCCCUGAGUCUUCACGCUGUUCUUUCCUCCUCUGUGACCUUAUUGGAAGGUGGGAUGGAGAAGUGGGAAAGAGGGUCCUCUAAGCUUCUCUAUCCCUGCGCUUCCCUGGAUGGGUACAGUAUCAGGGACAGAAGACCAUACACUGAACAGGAAUAUCCAGGGAGAGAACUGUUUCAGGCUAAACAACUAGAGGAGGUACAGGCAUAACUCAUCUUACUGCACUUCGCUUUAUGGUGCUUUACACGUCGCAUUUUUCACAAAUUUAAGGUCUGUGGCAACGCUGCAUUGAGCAAGUCUGUCGGCACCACUUUUCCGACAGCAUUUCCUUGCUUUGUAUCUCUGUGUCACACUCCGGUAAUUCCUGCAGUAUUUUAAAUCCUCCACCAGCAAAAAGAUUACAACUCGCUGAAGGUUCAGAUGAUGAUGAGUGAUCAUUUUUCAGCAGUAAAGUAUUUUUAACUAGGUGUCACAUUGUCUUUUUAUACAUAAUGCUAUUGUACACUUAAUAGACAGUAUAACUUUUACAUGCACUGGGAAACCAAAAAGUUCACAUGAUUCACUUUACUGCAAUAUUUGCUUUAUUGCAGUGGUCUGAAAUCCAACCCGCAGUAUUUCUGAGGUAGGCAUGUAUAUGGAAGCACCCAGCUCCACACCUGGCACAAAGCUGAUGCUAAAAAAAAAAAUGGUAGUUUAAAUAAAUGUUCCUAUUGACAUAUACACACUACUGUAUAUAAAGCAGAUAACUAAUAAGGGCCUCCUGUAUAGCACAGGGAACUCUACUCAAUACUCUGUAAUGACCUAUAUGGGAAAAGAAUCUAAAAAAGAGUAGAUAUAUGUAUAUGUAUAACUGAUUAAUUUUGCUGUACACCUGAAACUAACACAACUUUGUAAAUCAACUAUAUG